rnacentral:rRNA from 1 species
UACAGAGGGUGCGAGCGUUAAUCGGAAUUACUGGGCGUAAAGCGUGCGUAGACGGUAGCGUAAGUCGGAUGUGAAAGCCCCGGGCUCAGCCUGGGAAUUGCAUUCGAGACUGCGCUGCUAGGGUGCGGAAGAGGGAAGCGGAAUUUCCGGUGUAGCGGUGAAAUGCGUAGAUAUCGGAAGGAACAUCAGUGGCGAAAGCGGCUUCCUGGUCCAGCACCGACGUUCAGGCACGAAAGCGUGGGGAGCAAACAGG